CCUACGGGUGGCAGCAGUGGGGAAUAUUGGGCAAUGGGCGCAAGUCUGACCCAGCAACGCCGCGUGAAUGAAGAAGGCUUUCGGGUUGUAAACUUCUUUUCUCAGGGACGAAGAAAGUGACGGUACCUGAGGAAUAAGCCACGGCUAACUACGUGCCAGCAGCCGCGGUAAUACGUAGGUGGCAAGCGUUAUCCGGAUUUACUGGGUGUAAAGGGCGUGUAGGCGGGACUGCAAGUCAGAUGUGAAAACCACGGGCUCAACCUGUGGCCUGCAUUCGAAACUGUAGGUCUUGAGUGCUGGAGAGGCAGACGGAAUGCCUAGUGUAGCGGUGAAAUGCGUAGAUAUUAGGAGGAACACCAGUGGCGAAGGCGGUCUGCUGGACAGCAACUGACGCUGAGGCGCGAAAGCGUGGGGAGCAAACAGGAUUAGAUACCCCUGUAGUC
rnacentral:rRNA from 1 species